rnacentral:rRNA from 1 species
UAGGGAAUCUUCCGCAAUGGGCGAAAGCCUGACGGAGCAACGCCGCGUGAGUGAUGAAGGUCUUCGGAUCGUAAAACUCUGUUAUUAGGGAAGAACAAAUGUGUAAGUAACUAUGCACGUCUUGACGGUACCUAAUCAGAAAGCCACGGCUAACUACGUGCCAGCAGCCGCGGUAAUACGUAGGUGGCAAGCGUUAUCCGGAAUUAUUGGGCGUAAAGCGCGCGUAGGCGGUUUUUUAAGUCUGAUGUGAAAGCCCACGGCUCAACCGUGGAGGGUCAUUGGAAACUGGAAAACUUGAGUGCAGAAGAGGAAAGUGGAAUUCCAUGUGUAGCGGUGAAAUGCGCAGAGAUAUGGAGGAACACCAGUGGCGAAGGCGACUUUCUGGUCUGUAACUGACGCUGAUGUGCGAACGCGUGGGGAUCAAACAGG